UAUUGCACAAUGGGCGCAAGCCUGAUGCAGCCAUGCCGCGUGUGUGAAGAAGGCCUUCGGGUUGUAAAGCACUUUCAGUCAGGAGGAAAGGUUAGUAGUUAAUACCUGCUAGCUGUGACGUUAUUGACAGAAGAAGCACCGGCUAACUCCGUGCCAGCAGCCGCGGUAAUACGGAGGGUGCGAGCGUUAAUCGGAAUUACUGGGCGUAAAGCGUACGCAGGCGGUUUGUUAAGCGAGAUGUGAAAGCCCCGGGCUCAACCUGGGAACUGCAUUUCGAACUGGCAAACUAGAGUGUGAUAGAGGGUGGUAGAAUUUCAGGUGUAGCGGUGAAAUGCGUAGAGAUUUGAAGGGAUACCGAUGGCGAAGGCAGCCACCUGGGUCAACACUGACGCUCAUUACGAAA
rnacentral:rRNA from 1 species